rnacentral:lncRNA from 1 species
GAGUUAAAGACCCUUUAUUUUUACUGUUGCUGCUGUUACUACUACUACCAUGAGCAGUAGUACCGCUGGAAAAUACUCAGUAAAUCAUUACUGUGUAUAAACUAUUGUGCCAAAUAUCUUUUCCUGAAUAAUUUCAUGUAAUCCUUUCAGCCACGAAAAAGUUCGUUUUAAGAAUAAUCCAAGAAAAACAAAACAAAACAAAGCCAGGAUAAUUCAAGAAUGUGACAGAUACAGAAGUUCAGAUCCUAAUUCAUGACAUCACUGAAUUCUUCUUGACAUUAUUCAACUCUUAGCAAAUUACAAGUGGGUUGAAAGGUCAUUUUCUCCACAUGAAUGCGAAGUUCCACGUGAAACAGAAACUGAGCUUAUAUCUAUGUCGGUAAGUGUGGUGUGUUUAAGAAGA